rnacentral:rRNA from 1 species
UACAGAGGUCCCAAGCGUUGUUCGGAUUCAUUGGGCGUAAAGGGCUCGUAGGCGGUCUGUCGCGUCGGGAGUGAAAACUCAGGGCUUAACCCUGAGCCUGCUUCCGAUACGGGCAGACUAGAGGUAUGCAGGGGAGAACGGAAUUCCUGGUGUAGCGGUGAAAUGCGCAGAUAUCAGGAGGAACACCGGUGGCGAAGGCGACUUACUGGACACAUAUUGACGCUGAGGUGCGAAAGCGUGGGGAGCAAACAGG